rnacentral:rRNA from 1 species
GUGGGGAAUAUUGGACAAUGGGGGGAACCCUGAUCCAGCCAUGCCGCGUGUGUGAAGAAGGCCUUUUGGUUGUAAAGCACUUUAAGCGAGGAGGAGGCUACCGAGAUUAAUACUCUUGGAUAGUGGACGUUACUCGCAGAAUAAGCACCGGCUAACUCUGUGCCAGCAGCCGCGGUAAUACAGAGGGUGCAAGCGUUAAUCGGAUUUACUGGGCGUAAAGCGCGCGUAGGUGGCCAAUUAAGUCAAAUGUGAAAUCCCCGAGCUUAACUUGGGAAUUGCAUUCGAUACUGGUUGGCUAGAGUAUGGGAGAGGAUGGUAGAAUUCCAGGUGUAGCGGUGAAAUGCGUAGAGCUCUGGAGGAAUACCGAUGGCGAAGGCAGCCAUCUGGCCUAAUACUGACACUGAGGUGCGAAAGCAUGGGGAGCAAACAGGAUUAGAUACCCGAGUAGUCC